rnacentral:rRNA from 1 species
GACGAACGCUGGCGGCGCGCCUAAUACAUGCAAGUCGAGCGUGAAGCGGGACUUCGGUCCCGUGGAAAGCGACGAACGGGUGCGUAACACGUGAGCAACCUGCCCCGAAGACCGGGAUAACACCGGGAAACCGGUGCUAAUACCGGACGUCCUCUUCCGACCGCAUGAUUGGACGAGGAAAUGGAUUCCGCUUCGGGAUGGGCUCGCGGUCUAUCAGCUUGUUGGUGGGGUAACGGCCUACCAAGGCGACGACGGAUAGCUGGUCUGAGAGGACGAUCAGCCACACUGGGACUGAGACACGGCCCAGACUCCUACGGGAGGCAGCAGUAGGGAAUCUUGCGCAAUGGGCGAAAGCCUGACGCAGCGACGCCGCGUGCGGGAUGAAGGUCUUCGGAUUGUAAACCGCUUUCAGCAGGGACGAAAUUGACGGUACCUGCAGAAGAAGGCCCGGCCAACUACGUGCCAGCCGCCGCCGUAAAAC